UACGAAGGGGGCUAGCGUUGCUCGGAAUUACUGGGCGUAAAGGGCGCGUAGGCGGAUAUCUAAGUUGGGGGUGAAAUCCCGGGGCUCAACCUCGGAAUUGCCUUCAAAACUGGAUAUCUUGAGUUCGGGAGAGGUGAGUGGAACUCCGAGUGUAGAGGUGAAAUUCGUAGAUAUUCGGAAGAACAUCAGUGGCGAAGGCGGCUUUCUGGACCAAUACUGACGAUCAGGUGCGAAAGCGUGGGGAGCAAACAGG
rnacentral:rRNA from 1 species